rnacentral:piRNA from 1 species
UGGCAAUAUUUGACAGAUCCUAGUAAUUGC